CAAAAUGUCAAAUUAAAACUCUUUAAAAUAAAACGCUUUUUCACAAAUAAAUAAAUAUGGAAGUAUCGAAUGAAAUAACAAUGCAUCAGAAAAUAAAAGCCAUACGUAAAACAAGUUAAUAAUAAAAUGUUAAUUACUACACUCAAAAGUACCACAUAAUGCUGAAUAUACGACGAAAUAAAUUAACAUCCAUUUAAAGAUAUCAAAUGAAAAUUUGAAAAUCGAUGAAAGUGAUCACAUCAUGGAUUAAACAAAAUCGUCAGAUAUUUGAUAAAUAACAAGCAAAUGAAUAUCACAGAUUCCAUUAAAAAAAACGUGUUCUGGAGCCAAGACAGAAAAACAAACUUGAACCAACACGAAAGCAUAUGUAACCAACGCCAAAAUAUAUUCUAGAGAUAAUAGCGUUUUCAAUAAAUAAAUCUGGAGACUGUUGUAACCAAAUUCGGUUGGAUUUGUAAUCUUGUAAUAUUCCACAUUGGUAAUUAUUUUUUAACAAAACUUUAAUAUUUUAAACAGUUAAACAAAAUCCAAAUCCACCACAACGAAACGUGGUUCCAAAUCACUAUCAUUCAAUCAAGGCUACAUCGCUAACCCUUUCUUUUACAAAAGAGUGAUCGUUCAAAGCCGGAAAAUGUUAAUAUCAAUUCCAUAAGAGUGAGAGAAUAAUCUAGUAUCUCUGUCAUAAAAUUUAGUUACAUUUAUCAUUACAUAGUUCGAGUUUUAAAGGUAAUUAUUUUUUUAAAUUAGUAAUAAUAGUAGGCGCUCGAUUCAAAUUUCAACACAAAAAAAAUACAUCUCACAACGCAUCACCCCUGUACUAUUCUCAAACGUUGCAAAAAGAGAGGAUUGUUUUAUUUUUAUAAGUUUAAGAAUAGAGAAUGUGUUUAAAUGAGCUCGUCUCUUUAUUUUGCGUCGCUGAAUAGGCACCUAAAAUAUAUAUUAAAGAUCCUAUAAACAUAAUGGGUUCUAUUUUUAAAUGUUAUAGAAAAAAACCCCAUAUUUUUGAUACUAAUAAGAAUAGGACUCAACUUUAUAAUAACUUUUACGGUUACUUACGUCCCUGAAUACGUGAUUUAACUAAAAUAUUUACCGUUCCUCCUGAAACAAGCCCACAAAUUUAAGAAACGUUAUCUAUACAAUAAGUUUA